CCAGACUCCUACGGGAGGCAGCAGUGGGGAAUAUUGCACAAUGGGGGAAACCCUGAUGCAGCGACGCCGCGUGAAGGACGAAGUAUUUCGGUACGUAAACUUCUAUCAGCAGGGAAGAAAAUGACGGUACCUGACCAAGAAGCCCCGGCUAACUACGUGCCAGCAGCCGCGGUAAUACGUAGGGGGCAAGCGUUAUCCGGAUUUACUGGGUGUAAAGGGAGCGUAGACGGCCAUGCAAGUCUGAUGUGAAAACCCGGGGCUCAACCCCGGGACUGCAUUGGAAACUGUGCGGCUGGAGUGUCGGAGAGGCAAGUGGAAUUCCUAGUGUAGCGGUGAAAUGCGUAGAUAUUAGGAGGAACACCAGUGGCGAAGGCGGCUUGCUGGACGACGACUGACGUUGAGGCUCGAAAGCGUGGGGAGCAGACAGGAUUAGAUGCCCGUGUA
rnacentral:rRNA from 1 species